rnacentral:piRNA from 1 species
AUUGAGUACUACACAAAGCUGGAGCAGAGG